AUUCAGUAGAAUUUUUUAUAUACUUUGAUUGUAAGUGGUAUGCCACCACAUAAGUUGGCGCGCAAAAUUAAAGCGAUAGUUUUGUUAAUUCGAAAUUUAAAUACGAAGCAAGCAUUAGUAAAUGGGACAAGAACGCGAGUCAAAGCAAAGCAUAAUAACACGGUAGAUUGUGAAGUGCUCACUGGAGUUGCUCGCGGGAAACGUAUUUUGAUUCCACGCAUACACUUGACGUAGGGACUGCAACGCCAUUUAAUUUUCAAUGACAGUUAACAGUUCCCAGUCAUCAACGCAUUUGUGAUGACAAUUAACAAAUCUCAAGGACAGACAUUUGAUAGAGUUGGAAUAUUGUUGAGAUGACCUGUUUUCUCGCAUGGUCAACUUUACGUUGCAGUCGGUAGAGUUAGAUCAUUAACCCUAAUAAUGAAAAGUUUAUACAUUAUUAUUAUUUUAGAUUUACUUCAUUUCAUUGUUUCUUGCUUUCGCUGCAUACAAGCGAUUUGAUUUCGUGAUGGAAGGGGAUAGGAAUUUGUUUGACAAAUUAUGACGGGAGCAAGAUGUUGUGCAAAGUCGCAUUCUCGAAAUUGUGGCUUUAUUAAAGAACGAAAGCGAUCAACUAAAAAUUGAACGCGAUUCAUUGAAUAAUAACUGCGAUCAAUUGAAGGUUGAAUGCAAUCAAUAGAAGGAUCAAUGCAAUAAAUUGGGUCAGAAUGUUGAAUUUUUUCAGAAGAAGGUGCUGUUAUAUGAAAUUGCUAAUUCCAAUGCCGAUAACUUUCCGAUAUCAUCUGAGGAAUAAAUGUACGCAGCAGAAUACAAUUCUUUGUUGAAAAUAUUUCAAAAUGGAGCAUCAGUUCAAGAUUUCAUCGGUCCAUACGUGCCCACAAAUUCUCCGAUUUGAUUCGAUUGUUCAUUCAGGGAAGAAUUAAGCCAAAACCAAGAACAGAACAAAUGAUUUUGCACGAGAAUGAAUUAUAAAUUUUAACUCUUUUUUAAAUUUAUUUUUGUAAGUUGUUUUCUACAACUUUCUUUACAUUUUGUUCAAAUUCUUCAAUAUAAUUUAAAUACUAUUAAUAUUGUUAAUAAAUUGUAUAUUCUAUAGAUUGAAUGUCGACCACUGACAA